rnacentral:rRNA from 1 species
GACGAACGCUGGCGGCGUGCUUAACACAUGCAAGUCGAACGGAAAGGCCCUGCUUUUGUGGGGUGCCCGAGUGGCGAACGGGUGAGUAACACGUGAGUAACCUGCCCUUGACUUUGGGAUAACUUCAGGAAACUGGGGCUAAUACCGGAUAGGAGCUCCUGCUGCAUGGUGGGGGUUGGAAAGUUUCGGCGGUUGGGGAUGGACUCGCGGCUUAUCAGCUUGUUGGUGGGGUAGUGGCUUACCAAGGCUUUGACGGGUAGCCGGCCUGAGAGGGUGACCGGCCACAUUGGGACUGAGAUACGGCCCAGACUCCUACGGGAGGCAGCAGUGGGGAAUAUUGCACAAUGGGCCGAAGCCUGAUGCAGCAACGCCGCGUGCGGGAUGACGGCCUUCGGGUUGUAAACCGCUUUCGCCUGUGACGAAGCGUGAGUGACGGUAAUGGGUAAAGAAGCACCGGCUAACUACGUG